GCGCCCGUAGCUCAACUGGAUAGAGUACUUGGCUACGAACCAAGGGGUUGGGUGUUCAAGUCACCCCGGGCGCA
rnacentral:tRNA from 1 species